GUGGGGAAUAUUGGACAAUGGGGGGAACCCUGAUCCAGCCAUGCCGCGUGUGUGAAGAAGGCCUUUUGGUUGUAAAGCACUUUAAGCGAGGAGGAGGCUACCGAGAUUAAUACUCUUGGAUAGUGGACGUUACUCGCAGAAUAAGCACCGGCUAACUCUGUGCCAGCAGCCGCGGUAAUACAGAGGGUGCAAGCGUUAAUCGGAUUUACUGGGCGUAAAGCGCGCGUAGGUGGCCAAUUAAGUCAAAUGUGAAAUCCCCGAGCUUAACUUGGGAAUUGCAUUCGAUACUGGUUGGCUAGAGUACGGGAGAGGAUGGUAGAAUGCCAGGUGUAGCGGUGAAAUGCGUAGAGAUCUGGAGGAAUACCGAUGGCGAAGGCAGCCAUCUGGCCUAAUACUGACACUGAGGUGCGAAAGCAUGGGGAGCAAACAGGAUUAGAAACCCGAGUAGUCC
rnacentral:rRNA from 1 species